rfam:Balearica pavonina gibbericeps contig108257, whole genome shotgun sequence.
CCAAAGGCUCUUUUAAGAGCC